rnacentral:rRNA from 1 species
CCUACGGGGGGCAGCAGUGGGGAAUAUUGGACAAUGGGGGGAACCCUGAUCCAGCCAUGCCGCGUGUGUGAAGAAGGCCCUCGGGUUGUAAAGCACUUUCAGUGAGGAAGAACGCCUGGUGGUUAAUACCCAUCAGGAAAGACAUCACUCACAGAAGAAGCACCGGCUAACUCCGUGCCAGCAGCCGCGGUAAUACGGAGGGUGCGAGCGUUAAUCGGAAUUACUGGGCGUAAAGCGCGCGUAGGUGGCUUGAUAAGCCGGUUGUGAAAGCCCCGGGCUCAACCUGGGAACGGCAUCCGGAACUGUCAAGCUAGAGUGCAGGAGAGGAAGGUAGAAUUCCCGGUGUAGCGGUGAAAUGCGUAGAGAUCGGGAGGAAUACCAGUGGCGAAGGCGGCCUUUUGGACUGACACUGACACUGAGGUGCGAAAGCGUGGGUAGCAAACAGGAUUAGAUACCCGAGUAGUC